rnacentral:lncRNA from 1 species
UUAGUUUCCUUUACCACUGGAAAUAGCUUCUGGAAUGAUUUUUCCAAGUCUGCAUUACACUGAAGCUUUUUUUUUUUUUUUUUUUUUUUUUUUUUUUUACGGCGCUUUGCUGCUAUACACAAAGUUCAUUUUCUGCUUUUAUCAUUUCUAAUUGCUGAAGCUUAGAGUAGAAGUUCUUACUGUGUGUUUCUAACCAUUGUACACUCAGUUUCAUACACAGUUUAUGCCAGUCCUCAGGAUUAGCUUGUUCUUUCUGUCUACAACAACGAACUUCUGCAGCUUUUUAACAGGGCUGAAUUGCAGUUUUGUUGCACCAUUGUGAGUAUUUUGGUUCUUACAAGAGGAAGAGGUUGUUUUGUUGUAUGUCCUUCAUCUUUUCACCUGUCUGGGAAAGAAGGGAGAAGGUGAAGGGGAUAUAAUUCAUUGUUGAGUUUACAUGUCCAAUUCACCUAUGCUAAUGUUUUUCACUCUGUAAUCACUGAUCACUUUUUGAUCCUAUUGAUAUUGUUUCAUGUUAUUAAAGCAAAAUUUCACCUUUUGGAGAAAGGAGUGCUUUGUUAGUCUAAAAGGUUUCACUGACAGAUUAUUCACGGUUACACCUUGCAGGUGAGAGUGAUAAACAUUCAAACUGACUAAUGAGAGGACAUGAGAGACAGCUACCGCUCUGAGUGUAUGGGUAUAAGGCAGAGGAAGAGGGAAUGCAUGAUUUUCAAGAUGUAAGGGUACAGCAAGGACAGGUGUGGUAUCCUGGUUCUGUUACGAUAUAGGGUAGGUAAGGAUCUGAUAUUUACUUAUUUAUUUUUACAAGAAUACAUGUAAACCUCUUAAGGAACUUAUAAGAAGUAACAGAUCUGAAAAGAUCGAACAGUUUUUUGUUGUCUUUGCAAGAGAUUGGGCUCCAUGGAAUAAAAUGUGUUUAAAUUAUUUUCCAUUGCAGUUAUACUUCUUUCUCUUCCUAGGAUUUAGUGCAUUUUUAUGGUUUUAUUUUCAACAGUUGAGUCAUCUUCUGUGCUGAGGCAAUUAACCCAUAGCUGUGCAGAUGGGAAGCCAUAUAGACAUUCUUCAAACAGUCUAAGGAGGCAACCUGAAAGGCUAAAACUUGUUUGUGUGAGAAUCCAAAGUUGUAGCUCCAGGACUGCUGGGAGAAUGAACAGCAAAUACAACUGAAGAAAGCAGCAGGUGAAAGAAAGAUCUAGGUAGAGAAUAUGAUCUAUAUUGAGAAUAUAGACUGUAUGAUUCCCUACUCUUUUUUCAGGAUAAAGUUAAAAUUACACCAUCAGGAGUGGGAUACAGAAAUUUUAACCUGAAAAUUGUUUUAAUUUAAAUUGCAGGUAGCCAUGCAUGCUAUAUUUUUUCCCCUUUUGGUAAUUCUGUGUGCCUCCGUGGCACUUAGCAUGGUAGAUAUAAGAGCACCAUCUUAGAGAUUCUCUAAGUCCUUUGGAACCAACAGAUUGUCCACACAGGGGGAAGGUGUCUGUAGAAUAAGAUACAUGAAAUUAAGCCAAAAGUAAAGGAAAACAUAUUACUCAGAGACUAGAACAGAUUUAUUUUUUUUCCUCUCAAAGCAGGUAUUCUCAGCAUUUUUAUUUUUUACCACAAAUCUAGUUCAUUAUGUCACUUACCAAUUUUACUCCCAGUGCAUUUUUGUUUUGAUUUCUAAGUAAACAAUGGUUUAUUGACAUGAAUUGAAAUGUUAGUUGUGGGUGUAAGAAGUUUGAGUGUGAAGACAGAGUAGGACUCCUGAGCCUCACAGAGCUUGUGGAAAGGUGAGGUGUGAGGCAAAUCAUGAGAUGGUGCUCAUGUGAGGAUGGGUGUCUGCCUCUGGUCUCCCAUGGUGUAGGAGCAGCAGGGCCUGUUGUGUCCCGAGUGUCAGUCACCUGGGCAAUGAACUGAGGCAAUUUUCUGGGGUGCCACAGAGGGAUUUUUUUAUGUAGGUGACAGAUUGUGCAGGGCUGGCCAUCUUUUCAUGGCCAAUUUCUUGAUGAGGACAUCUAGAACACAACCUCUGUUCCUCUGUUGAUGUCUGAGUGUCUCCUAGCUCAGUACAACACUUGUACCCAGCCUUUGCAUACCUCCUGUGGAAUUUGCAUUUCCUUAAAAGUCAUGUCCCACCCCUCACCCCCCACCUGAGAAAAUAGUUGAACCAUAUGAGGAUUAAUUCAUGCAG